rnacentral:rRNA from 1 species
UACGUAGGGGGCUAGCGUUGUCCGGAAUCAUUGGGCGUAAAGAGCGUGUAGGCGGUCAGGUAGGUCGGUUGUGAAAACUGGAGGCUCAACCUUCAGAGGUCGACCGAAACCCCCUGGCUAGAGUCCGGGAGAGGAGAGUGGAAUUCCUGGUGUAGCGGUGAAAUGCGCAGAUAUCAGGAAGAACACCCGUGGCGAAAGCGGCUCUCUGGAACGGUACUGACGCUGAGACGCGAAAGCGUGGGGAGCGAACAGG